UACGUAGGAUGCAAGCGUUGUCCGGAAUUAUUGGGCAUAAAGAGCGCGCAGGCGGUAUGACAAGUCAGAUGUGAAAGAGGCCGGCUUAACCGGCAAGGGUCAUUUGAAACUGUCAGACUAGAGUGCAGCAGAGGAUAGUGGAAUUCCCGGUGUAGUGGUGAAAUGCGUAGAUAUCGGGAGGAACACCAGUGGCGAAGGCGACUAUCUGGGCUGCAACUGACGCUGAGGCGCGAAGGCUAGGGUAGCAAACAGG
rnacentral:rRNA from 1 species